rnacentral:rRNA from 1 species
GUAUGGGGAUCUGCCCGAUAGAGGGGGGUAACUACUGGAAACGGUGGCUAAUACCGCAUAAUGUCUACGGACCAAAGCAGGGGCUCUUCGGACCUUGCACUAUCGGAUGAACCCAUAUGGGAUUAGCUAGUAGGUGGGGUAAAGGCUCAUCUAGGCGACGAUCUCUAGCUGGUCUGAGAGGAUGAUCAGCCACACUGGGACUGAGACACGGCCCAG